UACGGAGGGGGCUAGCGUUGUUCGGAAUUACUGGGCGUAAAGCGCACGUAGGCGGCUUUGUAAGUUAGAGGUGAAAGCCCGGGGCUCAACUCCGGAAUUGCCUUUAAGACCGCAUCGCUAGAAUUGUGGAGAGGUAAGUGGAAUUCCGAGUGUAGAGGUGAAAUUCGUAGAUAUUCGGAAGAACACCAGUGGCGAAGGCGACUUCCUGGACCAAUACUGACGCUCAGGUGCGAAAAGCGUGGGGAGCAAACAGGG
rnacentral:rRNA from 1 species